GGGAUCUACAUUUUCCAAACCGUAGGUUCACAGUCCUCUUUACUUUUGUUUAUUCGGGGGCCCUCUUGUUAUUGUAAAUUAAAUUAAAUAUUUUGGUUUACUGUAUUACAGUAUGUAUAAAUUUAUUUAGCUUUUACGCUACAAAAAUUAUUUACAUAUAACUCUAUAAAUAUUGUUUUAUAAGAAAAUAGAAUAUUUU
rnacentral:lncRNA from 1 species